rnacentral:tRNA from 1 species
GCGAGCGUGGCGGAAUUGGCAGACGCGCUGGGUUUAGGUCCCAGUGACCCUAGGUCGUGGGGGUUCGAGUCCCCCCGCUCGCACCA